UUCUUACUUUGUUCUAUUUUUUCUUUUUCAUUUUGUCUCAAACACACAACAUUCCUCUCUCACACUCCCUCACUCUCCCACCGGUGCAUCACUCCACCACCUCAACCAUCAUCUGCCGACAAGUUUUACCGGAAAUGCUCCAUUCUAGCUAACCCCCCUUUGGAGCUUUGGAUAUAGGCUUUUGCGGGUUGCAAGAGUAGCAACGAUCGUUUUGAGACAGGUUUUUGUGGCUAGCAAUAAUUAGAUUAACUGCUGAUGGAGGCUGUACCUUUUGUGAUGGAGAUAUUUAGACGAUGUACAUCUUAGAAUAGGCUUGACUCAUUUUUUUAUAUAUUAUAAUGGUUAUGACUUUAUUUCCACUGAUGAGACAAGUUAAUGACAUGUAAUUAUAUUUAUUCAGACUUUCAUUCUUUUGUGGUCAAUGGUCCUUUUAAUUAUUGUAUAGAGUUCUGACUUACUUUGAAAGUAUAUUUAAUGAAAUUAUUAUGAAUA